rnacentral:rRNA from 1 species
CAAGUCUUGACAUCCCUCUGAAUCCUCUAGAGAUAGAGGCGGCCUUCGGGACAGAGGUGACAGGUGGUGCAUGGUUGUCGUCAGCUCGUGUCGUGAGAUGUUGGGUUAAGUCCCGCAACGAGCGCAACCCUUGAUUUUAGUUGCCAGCACUUUGGGUGGGCACUCUAGAAUGACUGCCGGUGACAAACCGGAGGAAGGCGGGGAUGACGUCAAAUCAUCAUGCCCCUUAUGACUUGGGCCACACACGUACUACAAUGGCUGGUACAACGGGAAGCGAAGCCGCGAGGUGGAGCCAAUCCUAUAAAAGCCAGUCUCAGUUCGGAUUGCAGGCUGCAACUCGCCUGCAUGAAGUCGGAAUUGCUAGUAAUCGCGGAUCAGCAUGCCGCGGUGAAUACGUUCCC